rnacentral:rRNA from 1 species
UGUACCCGCUGAACUUAAGCAUAUCAAUAAAGCGAGAGGAAAAGAAACCAACAGGGAUUGCCCUAGUAACGGCGAGUGAAGCGGCAACAGCUCAAAUUUGAAAUCUGGCCUCUUGCGGGGUCCGAGUUGUAAUUUGUAGAGGGUGCUUUGGCGUUGGCGGCGGUCUAAGUUCCUUGGAACAGGACAUCACAGAGGGUGAGAAUCCCGUAUGUGGUCGCCGGCCUUCGCCGUGUAAAGCCCCUUCGACGAGUCGAGUUGUUUGGGAAUGCAGCUCUAAAUGGGAGGUAAAUUUCUUCUAAAGCUAAAUACUGGCCAGAGACCGAUAGCGCACAAGUAGAGUGAUCGAAAGAUGAAAAGCACUUUGGAAAGAGAGUCAAACAGCACGUGAAAUUGUUGAAAGGGAAGCGCUUGCAGCCAGACUUGCCUGUAGUUGCUCAUCCGGGCGUCUCGCCCGGUGCACUCUUCUGCGGGCAGGCCAGCAUCAGUUUGGGCGGCCGGAUAAGGGUCUCUGUCAUGUAUCUCUCUUCGGAGUGACCUUAUAGGGGAGACGUAGUACGGUCAGCCCGGACUGAGGUCCGCGCUUUUGCUAGGAUGCUGGCGUAAUGGCUGUAAGCGGCCCGUCUUGAAACACGGACCAAGGAGUCUAACAUCUAUGCGAGUGUUUGGGUGUCAAGCCCGAGCGCGCAAUGAAAGUGAACGGAGGUGGGAACCCUCGGGUGCACCAUCGACCGAUCCUGAUGUCUUCGGAUGGAUUUGAGUAAGAGCAUAGCUGUUGGGACCCGAAAGAUGGUGAACUAUGCUUGAAUAGGGUGAAGCCAGAGGAAACUCUGGUGGAGGCUCGCAGCGGUUCUGACGUGCAAAUCGAUCGUCAAAUUUGGGCAUAGGGGCGAAAGACUAAUCGAACUAUCUAGUAGCUUGGUUCCUGCCGAAGUUCCCCUCAGGAUA